rfam:Lutzomyia longipalpis Contig25863, whole genome shotgun sequence.
GUCAAGGACCAUACCAUGCUGAACAUACCGGUUCUCGUCCGAUCACCGAAGUCAAGCAGCAUCGGGCGCGGUUAGUACUUGGAUGGGGGACCGCUUGGGAACACCGCGUGCCCUUGGCA